rnacentral:tRNA from 1 species
GGGGUUGUGGCUCAAUGGUAGAGCACUUGCCUAGCAUGUGUGAGGCACUGUUCGAUUCUCAGCAUCA